rnacentral:misc_RNA from 1 species
GAAAUGCGAUAAGUAGUGUGAAUUGCAGAAUUCAGUGAAUCAUCGAAUCUUUGAACGCACAUUGCGCCCCUUGGUAUUCCAUGGGGCAUGCCUGUUCGAGCGUCAUUUGUACCCUCAAGCUCUGCUUGGUGUUGGGUGUUUGUCCCGUCUCCGCGCGUGGACUCGCCCCAAAGUGAUUGGCAGCCGGCGUACUGGUCCCGGAGCGCAGCACAUGUCGCGCAAACGAGUGGCUUGGUACGGCGGCGUCCAUAAGCCCCUCUCUCACGCUCUUGACCUCGGAUCAGGUAGGGAUACCCGCUGAACUUAAGC